rnacentral:rRNA from 1 species
UACAGAGGUGGCAAGCGUUGUUCGGAAUUACUGGGCGUAAAGGGCGAGUAGGUGGCCAUCUAAGUCAGACGUGAAAUCCCCCGGCUUAACCUGGGAACUGCGUCUGAUACUGGACGACUAGAGUUUGGGAGAGGGAUGCAGAAUUCCUGGUGUAGCGGUGAAAUGCGCAGAUAUCAGGAGGAACACCGGUGGCGAAGGCGGCUUGCUGGGCCUUACCUGACGCUGAGGAGCGAAAGCGUGGGGAGCGAACAGG